rnacentral:rRNA from 1 species
CACGUAGUUAGCCGGGGCUUCUUACUCAGAUACCGUCAUUUUCUUCCCUGCUGAUAGAGCUUUACGUAACGAAUUACUUCUUCACUCACGCGGCGUCGCUGCAUCAGGGUUUCCCCCAUUGUGCAAUAUUCCCCACUGCUGCCUCCCGUAGGAGUCUGGGCCGUGUCUCAGUCCCAAUGUGGCCGUCCGCCCUCUCAGGCCGGCUACUGAUCGUCGCCUUGGUGGGCCGUUACCCCGCCAACAAGCUAAUCAGACGCGGGUCCAUCUUACACCACCGGAGUUUUUCACACCGCUUCAUGCGAAGCUGUGCGCUUAUGCGGUUUUAGCACCUAUUUCUAAGUGUUAUCCCCCUGUGUAAGGCAGGUUACCCACGCGUUACUCACCCGUCCGCCACUAAGAUGCCAACAUCUUGGCUCUUAGUAAACUAAUCACCUACGAAAAUGGACAUCCCCGUUCGACUUGCAUGUGUUAAGCACGCCGCCAGCGUUCAUCCUGACGCGAGGAUACAAACGUU